GGAAAAGGAUGUGGGAUUUCGAAGACAACCAGGAUGUUGGCUCAGAAGCAGCCAUUCAUUCAAAGAGUGCGUAAUAGCUCACUGGUCGAGUGGUCAUGCGCCGAAGAUGUACCGGGGCUCAAACGCGCCACCGAAGCAUGGGAUUCGCGCAAGCGAGUGGUAGAGGAGCAUUGAAUCAGGGCAGAAGCUGGAGCGGGAGCACCAGUGGACUUGAUUCAAGAGAGAAUGCCGGUAUGAGUAGCGAGAGGCAAGCGAGAAACUUGCCCGUCGAAAGCCUAAGGUUUCCUGGGGAAGGUUCAUCCGCCCAGGGUAAGUCGGGACCUAAGCCGAGGACGGAAGUCGUAGGCGAUGGACAGCAGGUUGAGAUUCCUGCACCGCCUUGAGAAUGAUGCAAUGACACAGAAGGAUAGCAUGAGCCGGGUGAUGGUCAACUCGGUUUCCAAAGCGAGGGCGUCUGGUAGUGAAGUACGCCAGACACACAGCCUGAGCCAAAGAGGGAGCGAAAUUCAAGUAGCGAAGCAUGCGAUUUCACGCUGGCGAGAAAAGUUGCUGGUAUAUCGAAGAGGCGCCCGUACCGCAAACCGACGCAGGUAGGCGAGGUGAGAAUCCUAAGACGAACGGGAGAACCCUUGUUAAGGAACUCGGCAAAAUGACCCCGUAACUUCGGGAGAAGGGGUGCCGAUGGAAACAUCGGUCGCAGAGAAAAGGCUCAAGCGACUGUUUAGCAAAAACACAGGUAUCUGCGAAAGCGAGAGCUGACGUAUAGGUGCUGACACCUGCCCGGUGCUGGAAGGUUAAGGGGAAAUGUCAUCGCAAGAGAAGCAUAGAACCGAAGCCCCAGUAAACGGCGGCCGUAACUAUAACGGUCCUAAGGUAGCGAAAUUCCUUGUCGGGUAAGUUCCGACCCGCACGAAUGGUGUAACGAUUUGAGCGCUGUCUCAACAGGGGGCCCGGUGAAAUUGAAGUAUGGGUGAAGAUGCCCAUUACCCGCGACUGGACGGAAAGACCCCGUAGAGCUUGACUGUAGCCUGAUAUUGGAUUUCGGUAACGGAUGCACAGGAUAGGUGGGAGGCUUGGAAGCCAGGACUCCGGUCUUGGUGGAGCCACCGUUGGGAUACCACUCUUCUGUUGCUGGAAUUCUAACAUGGCGCCGUGAAACCGGUGAAUGGACAGUGUCAGGUGGGCAGUUUGACUGGGGCGGUCGCCUCCGAAAGAGUAACGGAGGCGCCCAAAGGUACCCUCAGAAUGGAUGGAAACCAUUCAAAGAGUGUAAAGGCAGAAGGGUGCUUGACUGUGAGAGUGACAACUCGAUCAGAUACGAAAGUAGGGCUUAGUGAUCCGGCGGUAUUGAGUGGAAAAGCCGUCGCUUAACGGAUAAAAGCUACCUCGGGGAUAACAGGCUGAUCUCCCCCAAGAGUCCACAUCGACGGGGAGGUUUGGCACCUCGAUGUCGGCUCGUCGCAUCCUGGGGCUGAAGCAGGUCCCAAGGGUUUGGCUGUUCGCCAAUUAAAGCGGCACGCGAGCUGGGUUCAGAACGUCGUGAGACAGUUCGGUCCCUAUCCAUCGUGGGCGUAGGAAUCAUGAGAGGAGCUGUUCCUAGUACGAGAGGACCGGAAUGGACGCACCACUGGUGCAACUGUUGUCGUGCCAACGGCAUAGCAGGGAAGCGAAGUGCGGAUGGGAUAAACGCUGAAGGCAUCUAAGCGUGAAGCCCACCUCGAGAAUAAGAUUCCAGGCAGCAAUGCGAGAGACCCCUGGAAGACUACCAGGUGAUAGGUCGUCGGUGGAAGCGCAGUAAUGUGUGUAGCUUGACGAUACUAAUCGGUCGAUAGCUUGAUUUA
rnacentral:rRNA from 1 species